UUAGGGGAAACUUAGAAGUUAAUCUAGUGACAGAGGUAAUAUGACAAUAGCUAGAAGUAUAACUCCUAUAUCAUGAAGUAAUAAUUAAUUAUAAUGAAGUAAUCGUCUGUCUGAAUGAACUAUCUGUUUAUAUAAUACUACUGGCAGGAAAAUAAUAUACCAAUGGCAGACGUUACUCGAUCAGCAAACUUCAGUGUUGAUGUUGUACUUAGGGGAAACUUAGAAGUUAAUUUAGUUGCAGAGGAUUUUAAUACGCCGUGUGUAGUUCAACAUGGAACAAAUGUGAGAUGGCAUACAGAUAAUGGGCCAAAGGAUGAUGGAGUAAAGUCAGUCAUUGAUGC